GACAUUUGGUAGAGGCUGUGUGGCCACCUGGUCCCAGCAGACCCCAAAGAACAACCACACUCUCUGGUGCUGAAAGAAGGUCAUUAAAGGUGAAGGCUGGUGCCAGAUGUGU
ensembl:rRNA 5S_rRNA 5S ribosomal RNA